rnacentral:rRNA from 1 species
GUGGGGAAUAUUGGGCAAUGGGCGAAAGCCUGACCCAGCAACGCCGCGUGAAGGAAGAAGGCCUUCGGGUUGUAAACUUCUUUUAUGAGGGACGAAGGAAGUGACUGUACCUCAUGAAUAAGCCACGGCUAACUACGUGCCAGCAGCCGCGGUGAUACGUAGGUGGCAAGCGUUGUCCGGAUUUACUGGGUGUAAAGGGCGCGUAGGCGGACUGGCAAGUCAGAUGUGAAAUCCAUGAGCUCAACUCAUGAACUGCAUUUGAAACUGUUGGUCUUGAGUAUCGGAGAGGCAAGCGGAAUUCCUAGUGUAGCGGUGAAAUGCGUAGAUAUUAGGAGGAACACCAGUGGCGAAGGCGGCUUGCUGGACGACAACUGACGCUGAGGCGCGAAAGCGUGGGGAGCAAACAGGAUUAGAUACCCCGGUAGUCC